rnacentral:rRNA from 1 species
ACUCCUACGGGAGGCAGCAGUGGGGAAUAUUGCACAAUGGGCGCAAGCCUGAUGCAGCCAUGCCGCGUGUGUGAAGAAGGCCUUCGGGUUGUAAAGCACUUUCAGCGGGGAGGAAGGCGAUACGGUUAAUAACCGUGUUGAUUGACGUUACCCGCAGAAGAAGCACCGGCUAACUCCGUGCCAGCAGCCGCGGUAAUACGGAGGGUGCAAGCGUUAAUCGGAAUUACUGGGCGUAAAGCGCACGCAGGCGGUCUGUCAAGUCGGAUGUGAAAUCCCCGGGCUCAACCUGGGAACUGCAUUCGAAACUGGCAGGCUUGAGUCUUGUAGAGGGGGGUAGAAUUCCAGGUGUAGCGGUGAAAUGCGUAGAGAUCUGGAGGAAUACCGGUGGCGAAGGCGGCCCCCUGGACAAAGACUGACGCUCAGGUGCGAAAGCGUGGGGAGCAAACAGGAUUAGAUACCCCUGUAGUCCCAUGA